AACGAACGCUGGCGGCAUGCCUAACACAUGCCAGUCGAACGAGACCUUCGGGUCUAGUGGCGCACGGGUGCGUAACGCGUGGGAACCUGCCCUUAGGUUCGGAAUAACUCCCCGAAAGGGGUGCUAAUACCGGAUAAUGUCUUCGGACCAAAGAUUUAUCGCCUUUGGAUGGGCCCGCGUUGGAUUAGCUAGUUGGUAGGGUAAAAGCCUACCAAGGCGACGAUCCAUAGCUGGUCUGAGAGGAUGAUCAGCCACACUGGGACUGAGACACGGCCCAGACUCCUACGGGAGGCAGCAGUGGGGAAUAUUGGACAAUGGGCGAAAGCCUGAUCCAGCAAUGCCGCGUGAGUGAUGUAGGCCUUAGGGUUGUAAAGCUCUUUUACCCGGGAUGAUAAUGACAGUACCGGGAGAAUAAGCGCCGGCUAACUCCGUG
rnacentral:rRNA from 1 species